AGCGCAAGCGAAGGCUAGAACUUAAGCCCCAGUAAACGGCGGCCGUAACUAUAACGGUCCUAAGGUAGCGAAAUUCCUUGUCGGGUAAGUUCCGACCCGCACGAAAGGUGUAACGAUUUGGGCACUGUCUCAACAAUGGAUCCGGUGAAAUUGUAUUAGUUGUGAAGAUGCAACUUACCCACGCUAGGACGGAAAGACCCCGUGGAGCUUUACUGUAGAUUGAUAUUGGAUUUUGAGGUUUAAUGUAGAGGAUAUGUGGGAGACAGAGAAUCAGUGGCGCCAGUUGCUGAGGAGUCGCCGUUGGAAUACCACACUUUAAGCUUUAAGGUUCUAACCAUGCACCCUGAAUCGGGUGUUGGGACACUGUCAGUUGGGCAGUUUGACUGGGGCGGUCGCCUCCUAAAAAGUAACGGAGGCGUUCAAAGGUUCGCUCAGAAUGGACGGAAACCAUUUAUAGAGUGCAAAGGCAAAAGCGAGCUUGACUGUGACACCUACAAGUGGAGCAGAUACGAAAGUAGGACUUAGUGAUCCGGUGGUACCGAGUGGAAGGGCCAUCGCUCAACGGAUAAAAGCUACCCCGGGGAUAACAGGCUUAUCUCCCCCAAGAGUUCACAUCGACGGGGAGGUUUGGCACCUCGAUGUCGGCUCGUCUCAUCCUGGGGCUGGAGUAGGUCCCAAGGGUUGGGCUGUUCGCCCAUUAAAGAGGCACGCGAGCUGGGUUCAGAACGUCGCGAGACAGUUCGGUCCCUAUCCAGCGUGGGCGUAAGAAAUUUGAGAGGAGCUGUCCUUAGUACGAGAGGACCGGGAUGGACAGACCGCUGGUGUAUCAGUUGUCAUGCCAAUGGCACGGCUGAGUAGCUAAGUCUGGAAGGGAUAAGUGCUGAAGGCAUCUAAGUACGAAGCCCCCCUCAAGAUAAGAUUUCUAAAAGAGUCCUUGUAGAAAAUGAGGUUGAUAGGUCGAAGGUGGAAGUGCAGUAAUGUAUGUAGCUAAUCGAUACUAAUAACUCGAAAGUUUGACCAGAAAU
rnacentral:rRNA from 1 species